GGCAACAGCGAUCCCCGGAAACCACAAGGCGAGAUGUCUGCUCAUGCCUUCCCUGUGCAGACGUGCGGGGAGGAAGAUCAGAAGAAAACCCCACAAGUUCCUAUCAAUUUCACAGAACUUUCCAAGUGCUCUUAGAGUUGAAAGAUAAUGUCUGGGGAAAGAGAAGUCUAAAUCUGAUGAAAGGACAAAGGUGGAUAAAGUAGGCUGUGGGGGGAAAAUGAAGGAUGAUGGACCAGCUAAGGGAGGCAAGGAGAAGGCCCCUAAUGCCCCCCAAAGACCACUGCCUGUUCUGUUCAGGAUCCCCAGCAUCAAAUCCAUAGACCCUGGGAUUGCUUUUGGAGAUGGGUAGACAAGCUUGGUGAGCUGUGGAAUCAGUGACCGUGAGAAGCAGCCUUAGGACACCAAGGUGGGGAAGCUGCUGGAGAAAGACAGGUGGCGUCACCGGCUCUGAGUCUAAAGGGAAAAUGGGUGGCAAGAAGGUCCUGCCAGGGUUGCCCAGAGAAAGGUAGACAAG
rnacentral:lncRNA from 1 species